rnacentral:rRNA from 1 species
UACGAAGGUGGCAAGCGUUGUUCGGAUUUACUGGGCGUACAGGGAGCGUAGGCGGUUGGAUAAGCCCUCCGUGAAAUCUCCAGGCUUAACCUGGAAAGUGCAGAGGGGACUGUUCAGCUAGAGGAUGGGAGAGGAGCGCGGAAUUCCCGGUGUAGCGGUGAAAUGCGUAGAGAUCGGGAGGAAGGCCGGUGGCGAAGGCGGCGCUCUGGAACAUUUCUGACGCUGAGACACGAAAGCCAGGGGAGCAAACGGG